CAUUGGACGCUUAACCGACUGAGCCACCCAGGUGCCGCAGGUCGUCCUAAGCAGCUUCUCAUUAGCCCCCGCUGCGGGUCUGCCACUCAGGAAUGAAUGAGUGAGCACCAACCUUCUGCCCAAUGAAAGUGACUGAUUGGCCUCACCUGGCUCCGCAGGACCUCACGGGACAGAGGCCACAGGACACCACGAAGAGUCAGGGGAGGAAUCCCGCCACACCUGUGCUCGCUCAAGACUUGGAGGAAUCUCGUGUGUGAGCCUGCCUGGCACCUGCUGUUGCCCUCAGCACCCACGUGCCUCCCAGCCCAGAGCAGCCCGGGCACCUCCAAGACUCGCUUUAUGUUUCAGUCUUUCUGAUGCUCAGUCCUCCGAAGUGUGGCAGUUCCCGUGGCAGCUCCCCGGGCAGGUCAGCCCUGCGGCCUCUGGGGGUCCUGACUAUGGCCAUUGCUCCUGUCGGAUAUGCAAACGGGUAUUUAUUUCAACUGCUCUGAGGCAGGAUAUGCACGUGGACAGAAUCACAGGCUGUCUGCUCCUCAAGCUCCGACUUGUGUGAGGGGCUCAACAAACAGCAGAUGAGCACAUCCCUGACCCUCCGAGCCCUCCCUGCCUUCCUCGUUCCGCGGUCUGUGGCUCCUAACUGGGAGAGCCGCCUGCAUCUCAUCUGGCCCUCCUGUGCCCUCUCUGGGCAGGGGCAGGGGGCAGGGAAGGAGGCUGAGUGCCAAGGGGACAGCACGGAGAGGUGGGGACGGUGGCCAGGGAAGAGGUCGUGCCCUGCUUCAGAGGGCAGCUCUCGCCCCACAUGGUGGUGGUCCUGUGUUCUCAGACCUUUUGAUUUUCAAAAGAGGCCCCAGAUUUGGAUAUUUAAGGAAGAGGCACCAGCAUCUUUUCCAGAAAGCACAUUCUAGUUGUUCUGGACAGCGUGGAGCGGCGGGGGGCGGUGGGGGGCAGGGAGCCCUUUGCCCCACAGGCUGGCUCCUUUGCCAAGGGAGCAAGAGGUGUGGGAAUGCCCCGGACAGACACCCCCAGCUCGGUCUCCAGGCCCAGCUCGCUCCUGCCAGGCUCUUUAGAGAUUCUAGAACAUUCUCUCCGGCUGCCUGUGUCACUGGCUGUUACCAUAGCGCUACAGAGCAUCUAAGGAAAAGCAAGCCUGUGUGUGUUGCUUUCCCCAAGGAGCAUCUCGAGGCCUCCUUUGGGCCCAGCACCCCCACCCCGCGUGACAUGGAGAUGCCCCCCUCCCCCCCAGGAUUCGCCGGAUUUAUGCUCACCAGGAGCAGAUGCUGUGGGAGGGCUCUGACCUCCCCAGCCUGGUGCAUUGUGCUGAGUUGGCCUUGGGGGCUGGGGCUGUUCCUGGGCUGAAAGAGGGAGAGAAAACCCCCACCCACCCGACCAGGCCUUUGGGAGCAGGCUGGGGGCACGCACGACAGCUGUCAGGGAGCAGGGAGGGGUCCACCCGCCCCAGGGGAGUGCUGGAGAGUUCUGGGGGGGGCGCUGUGUGGGCUGCCCUCCCUGGGGCUGCCUGGCUGUGGGGGAAAAUGCUGGCUUUAACAAGCCCACAGGGGCCUUAAAACCUGGCUCGGGCUUGAAAGUUUUUCUAAAAGGCUCUUCUUGACAAUGGCCAUUAGGCCCGAAAGUCUGCAGUCACAUUAACUUAGGCUCUCAGGCUUCAUUUCUGUGUGGGAAAGCGCUAGCUCGGGGCCUCCCAUGCAGCCCGGGGGGCCGCCAAACCUCCAUGCUGACAUGGGAAACUUGGGGGGGGGUUGGGGAAGGGGAGCGAGAACGCUUCCCAUGCAAGAGUGGCUACCAUUUUAACCGAGGGCCUGCGAUGUUUGUGACAAGCAUACACCGUGCUCAUCUGUGAGGGCGGCGGGAUUGGAAAAUAUGGAGGCUCAGAAGCUAUUUGCCUGGGAUCCCAAAGCCGAGUGGUGAAACCUGGACUUCAGGAGGAAGAAGGUACAGAUGCUACUUGGGAUAAGUGUUGCCCCCUCGGGACCCUUAGAGGUGAGGACCCGACCUUGGGCACCCCUGGUGGUGAGGACCUGAUCUUGGGGACCCCUGGCAGUGAUGAUCCACAUCUCCACAUCCGCAAAUGCUCUGGGAACCCCGGGGAACCCAUUGUAAAGACAGGACAGGAUAGCUAUUUAAUUAUUUAUGAUGCGCCCUUUCCGUUGAAAAAGGAACGGCUCACUCCAGAGGCCACUUUCACGGUGCCCUGGGGUUCCCCUCUGAAACGCUGCUUCUGGGCUCCUGUUUCAGGGUUUCUGAUUUCCACCCUGGGAUGACCUGACGGUCCCUUCCCCUGGGGCCCCGGCUGGCCCAGGGAGGAGGCCCCACGACUCCAUCUGCCGACUGAGGGCCGCACGAAGGGGACGGCCAGCCCAUCUGCCCAGCUCACGCUGUGUGGCCCUGAGGUUGUCCCUUCGCUUCUCUGGCACUCAGUGUCCCCUUGGGAUGAGGUCAGUCUUCCUGAACGUGAUGGAUAUGAGACUGGCGACUUGGGGCAGUGACGUCAGAGCACAAGGAGGAACAAUUGUUAUGUUAAUUGCUACAUAGUCACUGGAAUGUAUUAAAACACACACAGACCGAGGCUCACACUUCGCUCAGCACGUCUGACACCUGAGCAUGCGCAGAACCACCUGCAGGGCGUGUUACAAUGCAGAUGGCUGGGCCCACCCCCAGCAUUUCUGACCCAGGGGGCCCCGAGGAUCUACAUUGCUAACAAGGCCUCAGGUGGUCUGGGACCGCACUUGACACCCCGGACUAACGAACACUCCCCGGGGGCCUCUGCACUUAGUGGUGUGCUGGAGCCGGCUAGAACCGGUUUACACGAUCCAGCGGCGCUCACCCCCUCCCAACUCCACGUUUGGUGACCUCACAUUGUAGCUUGCAACCAGCCGUGAUGGAGGUAUUUGCACCAGGGACACUGGGCAUCAGCAAACAUCAGGGCUUCCCUCACAGGCAGCUGGAAACACCUUGGCCAGCCCACCUCUGCGUGCCCAGAGCUAUUCUAAGCUCUUUACAGGGAUUAACUCGUUUAAUCCUUCCAACCGCCCUGGGCAGUAGCUGCUGUGAUGGUUCGGUCCCAUUCUACAGAUGUGGACACGGAGAUCCGGGAAGUGUAAGUAACUCGCCCCAAAUCGCGCAGGUGUAUCGGACCCAGGCUGUCAACCUAGACAUUCUGAAUGCACUGUCUGCCUUGUUCAUCGCUCAGCUACACGGCUUGUCAAAACCCAAAUGUCAUGCAUUUUUCCCAAAGCUAAGAAGAGACAAGCUGCUGGAGGUUGAUUUUUAAAAAUAUGAACUAAGAAACAGUACUUAUUGCUGUGUUGCAGACAACAGAGUCAGCUCAGAUGGGCUUCCCUGGGUUUACUUACACGGGAAGGGUAUGCCCUCCUUUGGAGAAAAGAUUCCAAAGCACUUCGCAGUGUAGAGGUUCAUACCGGUAGGGGGGCUGGGGCUGGUGGCCACAAGCAGGGGACUCGGGGAGAUCAGCGUAUUUAUUUUUAGAUGUCCGAGUUGCACAUUCUGGCUUUGACUUUUAAACAAUGAUGCCAGCUCAAAUUCAUCCUCAAAUUUGGAUCUAUGCACAUGCCUUCAAGAUCUUAUUGAUAGGUAAAUAGAAAACAAGGAGAUUGAGAAAUCCACCCUAGGUCGUGCCUGGAAAUGAGAAAAUCUGUCAGGGUGGCCUUGGAUGAGGAGGUCUGUGAGAUGCAUGGGCUCACUGGGCCAUCCAGCUCUGCUGGUUUACAAAGCUCCAGCUGCAGGGUUGGAGUGGGGGGAGUGAAGGCAGGCCCAGAACCAGGGUUGAUUGCACCCCUCAGAUGUGCUGGGCUAAAUUGCUGACAUCACAUCACAUUGUAGGGCCAGCCUGCUGACUGCGGCUCGGGGAAACUGACAAGAGAGAAAUUACAGGGAAAUCCUCCAACUCCACACCCUGACCUCAAAUUUCUGAAAAGCCCCCCGUGGAGGAUAAAGGUUAGGCUGCAAUCGCAAGGCUGAGGAACCGUCCUCCGGGAAAGACGGGGGCAUUUGGGGGAGAACUGUGGUCAGCUGAAUAAUGGCCCCUGAGACGUCCAGGCCUGAUCCCUGACACUGUGAAUGUUAUUUGCUCUGCCCAAAGGGACUCUGUGGGUGUGAGUGAGACUCUUGACAUCCCCAUGUCCGGGUGGGACCUAGUGUAACCCAUUCUCCUAGUCCCCCAUUCUCCAGGUGGGACCUAGUGUACCCACAAGGGUCCUUGUAACAGGGAGGCAGAGGGAUAUGUGGCUUUGGAGGGGGGAGCUGUAGGGAUGGAGGGAUGUGGCCGUGAGCGGAGGAAUGCCGAGGAAUGUUGGUACCUCUAGGAGUCAGAAAGGUGGGGGUGGCUUCUCCCCUGGAGCCUCUGAAGGAACCAGCCCUGCAGACACCUUAAUUUUAGCCCCAUAAGAUUCUUUUCAAACUUCAGACUCCAGGGUAAAUGUUAAUCCACUGUGUGUGUGGUUAUUUGUGAGAACAGUGCAAAGGAUUAUCCUUGACCAAAUUGGCUUUUGUCCUGGGAGGUGACCUUAACACCCUCAGAAUGUCCUGCUUGAUAAGAGAGUCUUUCUCGGGAGCCUGGGGCCACUGUGUAUAAUUUAUGCAAAAAUGUGAUUUAUGGUGGGGGGGUGCACAGUCUCCACUGGAGACCUCUGCAGGGGCUGGAGACUCAGGUUAGCCGGGCAGGUGGUCAGCCAUGCCCCCCCAUCACCGAGCCCCAGUAAAGCUGGGCAUCAAGGCUCCGGUGAGCAUCUCUGUCUGGCAAUAGUCCCGGCAUGUUGUUGCCUAUCAGUGCUGGGAGAAAUAAGUGCUCUCCACACAGUUCCUUUGAGAGGGGACGAGGGGAUGCUCUGCCCUAUGCACCUCUUCCCUCUGCUGAUUUUCGUCUGUAUCUUUUCAUUGUAGGCAAUGGUAAUGGUAUGAGUAUAAUGGCUUUUCUGAGUCCUUCUAGCAAAUUAUCAAAUCUGAGGGUGAUCUUGGGGGCCCCCAAACACUUGCAGUUGGUAUCAGAAGUGAGGAGGCCUAGGGACUCCCAAACUUUGUAAGGAGAAAUAGGAAACCACUAGGUUAUGCAAAGGCCCUGUGGUACAAAGGCAGGCUCUGCACUGGGAGCUUUCACUGGGCCAGUGUAGCCAGGAUAGAGAGUGAUGGAGGCUGGGGUGGGUGCUAGCCACCGAGACACACACAGUGCCUCCACCACUCUGAUGUCUAGUUUCCCCGCAGCAGCUAACCCUCGCUGGAGAGGGAGAACUCAGGCCUCCAGCGCUGAGCUAUUGAACACAGAUUGCCUGCCUCUGCCUGGCUCUUUCCCCGAGAUCCAGGAACUAUUCCAGGAUGUUCUAUCAGAACUCUGCUUCUGCAGUGGUUGGUGGAAAAUAUUCACACGGAGUCAAUUUCAGACAGCUUGUCUGCCAGGCCUUUCUCACCUGGAAGGAGGACCGGCUCUGUCUGGUGGGUACGUCCUCUUGUGCACUGGACAGAACAGGCCUGAGCCCCCAGGCAUCUGCCCCUCGUGGUGCUGACAGUCUCAAUGUGAGACUGGGUGGGGGGGUCCUCAGGUCUGGGUAGAGGAGAUGCCAGUAACAUCAGCGGAAACGCCCCCCUCGGCCUCCCAACCACGCUGUGGGGCCAGUGAGGGGUAUUCCCAUUUCACAGAUGAGGGACCUGAGGCUCAGAGGGGCAGUAACGGACCCUGGCAAGUGACACAGACGUGCUGGAGUCCAGGUCUGACUCUGGGCCCACGGGUGCCCCUCUCAGCCAUCAGGAAGACUUCACAUACGUCGGGAAACCCGCUGCUUCACGGAUUUGCUCAAAAAGGCUUUUCUGAGUGCCGCUCCGUGUGCUGGCGAUUGCGCAGUGGGCUUAAUUUGGGUUUUCGAACCAAGAUACAUUUAUCUUUUUUUUUUUUAAACCAGAAAAAAAAAGAUUUUUUUUCUUUUU